rnacentral:lncRNA from 1 species
ACAAAACAGCUCCUUGGAAAAGAUUAACUAUCUAAGCCUCAUUUGUAAAAUGGAAACAACACCUCCUCACGAUUGCUGUGAAGAUGAAGUAAAGUGCUUGCAAACAGUCCAUCACACAGCAAACCAUCCGUCAUCAGGAUAAAAUGCUUCCCCAAGAAUUCAAUUUUCGGGCACCCCCACUCUAAUUCUCUCAUAGGACCUCGCACUCUAUAGGUAAUCUCUGGUUUACGGAUUACUCUGGGUUCUUUAAACCUCUCCUUGGUCAUUCGUCCUGUUAAC